GUGCCAGCAGCCGCGGUAAUACGUAGGGUGCAAGCGUUGUCCGGAAUUAUUGGGCGUAAAGAGCUCGUAGGCGGUCUGUCGCGUCGGCUGUGAAAACCCGAGGCUCAACCUCGGGCCUGCAGUCGAUACGGGCAAACUAGAGUGUUGCAGGGGAGACUGGAAUUCCUGGUGUAGCGGUGAAAUGCGCAGAUAUCAGGAGGAACACCGGUGGCGAAGGCGGGUCUCUGGGCAACAACUGACGCUUAGGAGCGAAAGCGUGGGGGGCGAACAGGAUUAGAUACCCUGGUAGUCCACGCCGUAAACGUUGGGCGCUAGGUGUGGGGGCCAUUCCACGGUCUCCGUGCCGCAGCUAACGCAUUAAGCGCCCCGCCUGGGGAGUACGGCCGCAAGGCUAAAACUCAAAUGAAUUGACGGGG
rnacentral:rRNA from 1 species